CAAAAUCUCUAUUUUUCUUACUUGUUUUUGGUUCUUCAUAUGUACAAUUUUCCUGCUUCUGUUGCUAUCUUUUUGUUUUGUGAAUUAUGCGACCAACCUUUUUAAUGUCCACCGUUUUUCUGAUUAUUUGAUUUAUCAUCUAAAUUAGUGGGUUUGUUCAACCUUGAUUCGAUUUUAUUUCAUGAAUUCUGGUAGUUCUUAAGGAUUAUUUGAUUUCCUAGAGAGUGUCAUUAAAAAGGUUCAAGUUUUGAGACCAUGAGUAGUUUAUUUUCUCAGAUUAUUAUGUUAUGAUGGUGCUCAUCUGCUAAUGUCAAAAGGUCUUCCAUUGAAUCCGGUAUAUGUGCUAGUUUUGCCCCAUUUCGUUUGUUGUCUGGAUGAUGCCCAUAGAGUACCACUCUUGCAAGAAGUGUAUUUGAUAAUGCCUAAAAUGAAGGGAUACCUGCAAAAUAGAUAUAUAGAAAAAUUCGCUUUUACCUGCUCAAUCUAGUUACUCUCACUAACUCUUUUCUCUUGUCAAUAUUUUCUUUCAAAGAGCUGGCCUUCAUAAUGUAUACCCUGUACGUUUUGCACAGCCCUAUUUUCUUUAACAUUUCCUUUCAUUCAGCGCCUCAGAUUUUCAUUGCUGUGAUCCGAAUUCCAUAGAUUUGAUUUUUGGGUUUUUGAGAUUCUGCCAAUUAAUUGAUAUUCUUAGUAUUUUUUGAAAUCUCCGUUUUACUUACUUGUGUUUGGAUUUUCAUAUGUACAAUUUUCCUGCUUUCGUUGCCAUCUUUUUGUUUUGUGAAUAAUGUGACGAACUUUUUCAAUGUCCACCGUUUUUUGGAUUAUUUGAUUUAUCAUCUAAAAUUAUGGAUUCGUUCAUCCUGGAUUCAAUUUUAUUUCCUAAAUUCGGGUAGUUCUUAAAGAUUAUUUGAUUCCCUAGAGAGUGUCAUAAAAAAGUUUAAGUUUUGGGAUUUCCAGGUCCCUUUGACCAUGAGUAGUUUGUUUUCUCAGAUUAUUAUGUUAUGAUGGUGCUCGUCUGCUAAUGUCAAAAGGUCUUCCAUUGAAUCAGGUAGAUGUGCUAGUUUUUCCCCAUUUUGUUUAUCAUCUAGAUGAUGUCCGUAGAAUACCACUCUUGCAAGAAGUAAGGAUACAUGCAAAAUAUAUAGAAGAAGAAUUCGCCUUUACCUGCUAAAUCUUAUUACUCACGUUAAUCCUUUCUCUCGUCAAUAUUUUUCCACCAAGAAGCUGGCACCCGUAAUGUACACCCUGUACGUUUAGCAACCUUUCCUACCAUUCGGCGCUUCAUAUUUUCAUUGCUGUGAUCCGUAUUCCAUAUAUUUGGUUUCUGGGAUAUUGAGACUCUACCAAUCAAUUGAUAAUCUUGGGAUACUGCAAAGCAGAUAGGAGAAGAAUUUCUUUUGUAGUUGGGUGAUGUAUCACCAUAGAUCAUUUUUGCUAGACCUAUUGGAGUUCGGAUAAGAGAGUACGAGGGCCAAAAGGUUAAGUGGUGGUGUUCAAUUUUUUUUAAUUAUUAUUAUUAUUUUUUUUAAAUAAUCUUGGUUGUAAUUGUAUAAUGUAUUUAUAGGAUCAUUUCAUACGGUUUUCUUGCAAUGUUGUUUGGCGUAACAAAAUUCAGUUAAGAAGUUGAUAAUUUUUUAGGAACGAUAGUUGUAGCUAGCUAUUUUCGAUGUUUCGGGUGCAGUUAUUCAUUCAAUCAUCAUCAAUGACUAUCUAUGCUGGAGCUUCAAUAUUUUUGAAGUCUAGUAAGAUAGAAUCUUUUUCUAUACACUUUGUUCAAUUUAGUGCUACACGUAUUGAAAUAUCUAGUAGUAACUAGUCCUUAAUUUUGAUUGGAAGUAAAUAAAUCAUUUCUUGUAUUUACUUUGUUGUGGUUCACUCCUGCCAAUAUUUCAACAUCAUGGUUGAUGGGUAAACACUCUAACACUACAUUACAGCAACAGAGGUCUGUAAUUAUGUUCACUGUUUGACAGUGGCAGAAUCAACACCCAGCAAGAGGGCGCGGCCAUGUGUGUUGGCUCCGCCAAAGUCACCGUGGCCGAUGGGAGCCAUUGCAGAAAACUUGAAUCAGAAAAUGUAGACCCUUGAGAAUGAGGACUCGAGGUUGAAGAUGAAAUCAAUUGGAUUGGGCCUUUUUUAGAAUUGGGCCUCUUCCCUCUCUUCUUUUUUUUUUUUUUUUUUUUUUUUGGGAAAAAAAAAAAAAAAAAAAAAAUAUUUGUUUGACCUGCCGAUGUGGGUAGGUGGGUAACAUAAUUUUUGCCCACCGUGAACAGGGAAUAAAUUUUAGCAUAAUGAAAUGACAUGCUGCAAAAUUCCAA